rnacentral:lncRNA from 1 species
AAGUGCGCCUUCCAACUCCUUUACACCUUGGUUAUGAAGAGUUGAUGGCUCAUCCAUAACCAUAUACAUAGGUAUCUCGCAAGCGUAUGACAUCUUGAGCUCCAAAGCUCUCUUCUUCACCCAAAUAGUGUAAGCAACCAAAGCUAUACAGUUGCAUGGACCAAGCUCGGAUCUUCCUUUCUUAUGCAUAUUGUGCCAAGCAUGCACCAUCCUACUCUUCAAAAGUUGGG